AACGAACGCUGGCGGCAUGCCUAACACAUGCAAGUCGAACGAGAUCUUCGGGUCUAGUGGCGCACGGGUGCGUAACGCGUGGGAAUCUGCCCUUUGCUACGGAAUAACUCAGAGAAAUUUGUGCUAAUACCGUAUAAUGUCGAAAGACCAAAGAUUUAUCGGCAAAGGAUGAGCCCGCGUAGGAUUAGCUAGUUGGUGAGGUAAAGGCUCACCAAGGCGACGAUCCUUAGCUGGUCUGAGAGGAUGAUCAGCCACACUGGGACUGAGACACGGCCCAGACUCCUACGGGAGGCAGCAGUGGGGAAUAUUGGACAAUGGGCGAAAGCCUGAUCCAGCAAUGCCGCGUGAGUGAUGAAGGCCUUAGGGUUGUAAAGCUCUUUUACCAGGGAUGAUAAUGACAGUACCUGGAGAAUAAGCUCCGGCUAACUCCGUGCCAGCAGCCGCCGUAA
rnacentral:rRNA from 1 species